AGGAGAAGAUGAAUUAAAUAAAUACGACGAUCCUAAGCUCAAAGGAUUAAGCCGAUAUUUCAACAGCACAACAAUAAGGGGAAGAGCAAAUGUAACGAUUGCCACUUAUGCGGUCAUCAUAGGCUACUUUUUAUAUGCAAAACUUAUCAAGAGUAAAAGCUCAGAAUGCCCUCCUAGCACAUCCGUCGAAAAGUGAUUACUAAAUUGUAUGUUACCAAAAUGUUGUUUUGUUAAAUAGUAUGUUCUGUACCGUUAUACAAUGAAGCCGUUUUCACGUAAAAUACAUUGGCUAAGAGUCAAAGGAUAUAUCAAUCGUUAUGCUACAAAAGAGCACAUACAAAGCUUUAAGAAUGUCUCACUCACAACGAUUAGCUUUCUGGCAGGAUUUUUCUUUUACCAAAAGAUAAUAAAAGAUCUAAUCUUAGAGAAAGAGUAUGAUUGUCGAUGUGGAUCAAACCCAAAGGCUCAACAACGAAUUUCCAAAAAAGUAAUCAAAAAGGAAAGUUAUGAAACCCAAAGUUCACCCAAGUAAAUGUUUAAACUUGCCCCGUCGUAUAUUAAAUUUGUCUCCAUUUGCC
rnacentral:lncRNA from 1 species